UACGUAGGGGCCAAGCGUUGUCCGGAUUUAUUGGGCGUAAAGAGCUCGUAGGCGGUUCGGCAAGUCAGCUGUGAAAUCUCCACGCUCAACGUGGAGGGGUCAGCUGAUACUGCUGUGACUCGAGUCCGGUAGGGGAGUGUGGAAUUCCCGGUGUAGCGGUGAAAUGCGCAGAUAUCGGGAGGAACACCAGUAGCGAAGGCGGGUCUCUGGGCAGUAACUGACGCUGAGGAGCGAAAGCGUGGGGAGCGAACAGG
rnacentral:rRNA from 1 species